rnacentral:piRNA from 1 species
UGUACCUCAUUCAGCCGAGUAUUUGUGCUC